GAUUGGUUAGCCUAAUGGUAAGGCACUUGGGUCACACCAAAGGGAUGGAGGUUCGACUCCUCUGCCAAUCU
rnacentral:tRNA from 1 species